GACGUAGGGGGCGAGCGUUAAUCGGAAUUACUGGGCGUAAAGCGUGCGCAGGCGGUUCGUUGUGUCUGAUGUGAAAGCCCCGGGCUCAACUUGGGAACGGCAUUGGAAACUGGCGAGCUAGAGUGUGGCAGAGGGGGGUGGAAUUCCGCGUGUAGCAGUGAAAUUCGUAGAUAUUGGGAAGAACACCGGUGGCGAAGGCGGCUCACUGGCUCAUUUCUGACGCUCAGGCGCGACAGCGUGGGGAUCAAACGAG
rnacentral:rRNA from 1 species